rnacentral:rRNA from 1 species
CCCGAGGCGCACUGCUCAGUAACACGUGGAGAAUCUGCCCUUAGGUGAGGAAUAACCUCGGGAAACUGAGAAUAAUACUCCAUAAGUCUAGGAUACUGGAAUGUACUUAGGCUGAAAACUUCGGUGCCCUAGGAUGAGUCUGCGGACUAUCAGGUUGUAGUCAGGGUAAAGACCUGACUAGCCUACGACGGAUACGGGUUGUGAGAGCAAUAACCCGGAGAUGAUAUCUGAGACACGAUAUCAGGCCCUACGGGGCGCAGCAGGCGCGAAAACUUCACACUGCGCGAAAGCGCGAUGAGGGAAUCCCAAGUGCUUGCACGUAAGUGUAAGCUGUUUCUAUGUCUAAAAAGCAUGGAGAGUAAGAGCUGGGUAAGACGGGUGCCAGCCGCCGCGGUAAUACCUGCAGCUCAAGUGGUGGCCGUUAUUAUUGGGCCUAAAACGUCCGUAGCCGGUUUAUUAAAUGCCUGGGUAAAUCGGGCCGCUUAACGGUUCGAAUUCCGGGUAGACUGAUAGACUUGGGACCGGGAGAGGCUAGAGGUACUCCUGGGGUAGAGGUGAAAUUCUGUAAUCCUAGGGGGACCA